GACGAACGCUGGCGGCGUGCUUAACACAUGCAAGUCGAACGGAAAGGCCCCUUUGGGGGUACUCGAGUGGCGAACGGGUGAGUAACACGUGAGUAACCUGCCCUUGACUUCGGGAUAACUUCAGGAAACUGGGGCUAAUACCGGAUAGGAAUCCUUGCUGCAUGGUGGGGGUUGGAAAGCUUCGGCGGUUUUGGAUGGACUCGCGGCUUAUCAGCUUGUUGGUGGGGUAGUGGCUUACCAAGGCUUUGACGGGUAGCCGGCCGGAGAGGGCGACCGGCCACAUUGGGACUGAGAGACGGCCCAGACUCCUACGGGAGGCAGCAGUGGGGAAUAUUGCACAAUGGGCGGAAGCCUGAUGCAGCAACGCCGCGUGCGGGAUGACGGCCUUCGGGUUGUAAACCGCUUUCAGCAGGGGCGAAGCUUGUGGUGACGGUACCUGCAGAAGAAGCACCGGCUAACUACGUG
rnacentral:rRNA from 1 species